rnacentral:rRNA from 1 species
UUGAAAGCCCGGAGCUCAAAUCCGGUUCGCAUUCGUAACUGUGUAGCUUGAGUGCAGAAGCGGAAAGCGGUCUUACCCGCGUAGCGGUGAAAUUCGUAGAGAUGUGGAGGAACACCAGUGGCGAAGGCGGCUUUCUGGUCUGUUACUGACGCUGAGGCGCGAAAGCGUGGGGAGCAAACAGGAUUAGAUACCCUGGUAGUCCACGCCGUAAACGAUGAGUACUGGGUGUUGGGGGUUUCAAUACCCUCAGUGCCGCAGCUAACGCAAUAAGCA